rnacentral:lncRNA from 1 species
UAGAAGUCAGGUCGGAUUAAGCCAUAGUACGGGAAAAACUAUGCUACCUGUGAGCCCCGUCCAAGGACGUUAAAAGAAGUCAGGCCACUACAAGUGCCAUAACUUGAGCAAACUAUGCAGCCUGUAGCUCCACCUGGGAAGGUGUAAAAAAUCUGGGAGGCCACAAACCAUGGAAGCUGUACGCAUGGCAUAGUGGACUAGCGGUUAGAGGAGACCCCUCCCUUGCAAAUCGCAGCAACAAUGGGGGCCCAAGGUGGGAUGAAGCUGUAGUCUCACUGGAAGGACUAGAGC